GAUGAAGAACGUAGCGAAAUGCGAUACGUAAUGUGAAUUGCAGAAUUCAGUGAAUCAUCGAAUCUUUGAACGCAUAUUGCGCUCUUUGGUAUUCCGAAGAGCAUGCUUGUUUGAGUAUCAGUAAACACCUCAACCUCUUCUUGAUUUUUCAAAAGGAGGGUGGACUUGAGCUAUCCCAACAACCUUUACCGGUCGGCGGGCGGCUUGAAAUGCAGGUGCAGCUGGACUUUUAUCUGAGCUAAAAGCAUAUCUAUUUAGUCCUCGUCAAACAGGAUUAUUACUUUUGCUGCAGCUAACAUAAAGGAUAAUUGUCCUCUAUGCUGACUGAUGCAGGAUUUUACGACACUUUAUGUGUUGUUCAACUCGAUCUCAAAUCAAGUAAGACUACCCGCUGAACUUAAGCAUAUCAAUAAGCGGAGGA
rnacentral:misc_RNA from 1 species